CAAAGAUUAAGCCAUGCAUGUCUAAGCAUAAGCCGAAUAUGGUAAAGCCGCGAAUGGCUCAUUACAACAGCCAUAGUUUAUUGGAUCUUAGAGUCCUACUUGGAUACCUGUGGAAAAUCUAGAGCUAAUACACGCAAUCAAGCCCUAACCUUUUGGAAAGGGCGCAUUUAUUAGAACAAAACCAAUUGGCUUCGGCCAUGAAUUGGUGAAUCUGAAUAACUACGCUGAUCGCACGGUCUCGUACCGGCGACGUAUCCUUCAAGUGUCUGCCUUAUCAACUUUCGAUGGUAGUCUAUAAGCCUACCAUGGUUGUAACGGGUAACGGAGAAUAAGGGUUCGACUCCGGAGAGGGAGCCUGAGAAACGGCUACCACUUCCAAGGAAGGCAGCAGGCGCGCAAAUUACCCACUCUCAGAACGAGGAGGUAGUGACGAAAAAUAACGAGACAGUUCUCUAUGAGGUCUGUCAUCGGAAUGGGUACAAUCUAAACCCUU
rnacentral:rRNA from 1 species